GCUUGAGAAGCUCAAUUGGUCGAGCGAAAUACUGAAAAUAUUUAGGUUGUAAGUUCAAAUCUUACCUCGAGCA
rnacentral:tRNA from 1 species